rnacentral:rRNA from 1 species
GAUGAACGCUGGCGGCGUGCUUAACACAUGCAAGUCGAACGAUGAACCUCACUUGUGGGGGGAUUAGUGGCGAACGGGUGAGUAACACGUGAGUAACCUGCCCUUGACUCUGGGAUAAGCCUGGGAAACCGGGUCUAAUACUGGAUACGACCUUCUGGCGCAUGCCAUGUUGGUGGAAAGCUUUUGUGGUUUUGGAUGGACUCGCGGCCUAUCAGCUUGUUGGUGGGGUAAUGGCCUACCAAGGCGACGACGGGUAGCCGGCCUGAGAGGGUGACCGGCCACACUGGGACUGAGACACGGCCCAGACUCCUACGGGAGGCAGCAGUGGGGAAUAUUGCACAAUGGGCGCAAGCCUGAUGCAGCGACGCCGCGUGAGGGAUGAAGGCCUUCGGGUUGUAAACCUCUUUCAGUAGGGAAGAAGCCGGCUUUUGGGUUGGUGACGGUACCUGCAGAAGAAGCGCCGGCUAACUACGU